rnacentral:rRNA from 1 species
UACGAAGGGGGGCUAGCGUUGCUCGGAAUCACUGGGCGUAAAGGGUGCGUAGGCGGGUCUUUUAAGUCAGGGGUGAAAUCCUGGAGCUCAACUCCAGAACUGCCUUUGAUACUGAGGAUCUUGAGUUCGGGAGAGGUGAGUGGAACUGGCGAGUGUAGAGGUGAAAUUCGUAGAUAUUCGCAAGAACACCAGUGGCGAAGGCGGCUCUCUGGACCGAGACUGACGCUGAGGCG